AUUGAACGCUGGCGGCAGGCCUAACACAUGCAAGUCGAACGGUAACAGGAAGAAGCUUGCUUCUUUGCUGACGAGUGGCGGACGGGGGGGUAAUGUCUGGGAAACUGCCUGAUGGAGGGGGGUAACUACUGGAAACGGUAGCUAAUACCGCAUAACGUCGCAAGACCAAAGAGGGGGACCUUCGGGCCUCUUGCCAUCCGAUGUGCCCAGAUGGGAUUAGCUAGUAGGUGGGGUAACGGCUCACCUAGGCGACGAUCCCUAGCUGGUCUGAGAGGAUGACCAGCCACACUGGAACUGAGACACGGUCCAGACUCCGACGGGAGGCAGCAGUGGGGAAUAUUGCACGAUGGGCGCAAGCCUGAUGCAGCCAUGCCGCGUGUAUGAAGAAGGCCUUCGGGUUGUAAAGUACUUUCAGCGGGGAGGAAGGGAGUAAAGUUAAUACCUUUGCUCAUUGACGUUACCCGCAGAAGAAGCACCGGCUAACUACGUG
rnacentral:rRNA from 1 species